rnacentral:rRNA from 1 species
UGACCUCGGAUCAGGCAGGGAUACCCGCUGAACUUAAGC